UUACAGGGUUUUCAGUCACACACAGAGCUGAUGUGGAUGUUUCUACUCCUCAUCGAUUCACUUUUUACAGUCAUCAGAAGAGGAGAUUGUGGAGGGACGUGAUAUGUGACAGAUCACAUGUGGAGUAUCAGACCCUACAGACGAGAUAAAGGCAUUCAAUGAGAGAUGGACAGCAGAGAGAAAGACUCACUAAAGCUUAUUCGCAGAGACAGCAUGCAGCAAAAACCAAACAUGAGUCUGGAUUUAGACGGCCAUGUAGAGUUUCAUUCAGGUGAAUCAGAAACAGUCACAGAUGAGGUCACGGCAGUACAUCCCUCUUUUGCUGAGCUCUUCAGCUCCUUCAUCUUCAUCUGUUAUUCAGCAGUCAGUAAUGGCUCAGUAUGUCUCGCUCUGCUGGACACCACACAUGUAGCACAAGAGGACGAUUAAAGGGAGAGUUCAGCAAAAAAAAAAAAAAAAAAGAAAAUUCUGUCGUCAUCAUUCACUCACCCUCAAGUUGCUCCAAACCUGAUAUUUUAAAGAAUGCUGGUAAGAGAACAGUUUCUGGUAGCCAUUGACCUCCAUAGUAUAGAAAAAAAAUACUAUGGAAGUCAAUGGCUGCCAGCAACUGUUUGGUUACCAACAUUCUUCAAAAUACCUUCUUUUGUGUUCAACAGAAGAAAGAAACUCAUACAGGUUUGGAAUAACGUGAGGGUGAUUAAAUGAUGAGAGAACUGUCCCUUUAAGUCUUGUGUGUUAGUUUUAAGGGAAAGACAUCGUACAGUACAUCCGUGUAAAACACUGUAGGUUGUCAGUUUACUGUGAGUGUUAAACUCUAGAUUAUCUGUGGUAUUUUAAAGCUUUUCGGUCAUGGUGUUUGAUCUGAAAGUGGAGCUCAGAAAACAUUUCACCAGCAUUUUGCACAUUGCUUGAUAUGUUCUCCUCAUUUUACUUGUUUCAGAGCC
rnacentral:lncRNA from 1 species